AGUGAACGCUGGCGGUAGGCCUAACACAUGCAAGUCGAACGGCAGCACAGGAGAGCUUGCUCUCUGGGUGGCGAGUGGCGGACGGGUGAGGAAUACAUCGGAAUCUACUCUGUCGUGGGGGAUAACGUAGGGAAACUUACGCUAAUACCGCAUACGACCUACGGGUGAAAGCAGGGGACCUUCGGUCCUUGCGCGAUUGAAUGAGCCUAUGUCGGAUUAGCUAGUUGGCGGGGUAAAGGCCCACCAAGGCGACGAUCCGUAGCUGGUCUGAGGGGAUGAUCAGCCACACUGGAACUGAGACACGGUCCAGACUCCUACGGGAGGCAGCAGGGGGGAAUAUUGGACAAGGGGCGCAAGCCUGAUCCAGCCAUACCGCGUGGGUGAAGAAGGCCUUCGGGUUGUAAAGCCCUUUUGUUGGGAAAGAAGUCCAGCUGGCUAAUACCCGGUUGGGAUGACGGUACCCAAAGAAUAAGCACCGGCUAACUUCGUGCCAGCAGCCGCCGUAA
rnacentral:rRNA from 1 species